rnacentral:snRNA from 1 species
GUGUUUAGGACGCCUGAGCUACAGAGUGACAGCCCUGCACUGUCAGCACAUAUAGUAAAAUUGGAAAGAUACAGAGCAGAUUAGCAUGACCCUGCACGAGGAUGACACGAAAAUUCCUCAAGCGUUCCACAUCUAA